rnacentral:lncRNA from 1 species
CAAACCUGGGAUGUCCCAUGGGGGAAGCAGGCAGUCAACUACUUGAGCCACAUCUGCUCCCAUCUUCACUUUUGAUACUUCUUCAUCUUCUAAAUGAUGCCCAGAAGCACUGAUGAGAAAACAAUCCUUGGCUAUGUCUCUCUAUUCACCUUAAUGAGAAUUGAGUUAGGACAUUAUUCCUGAUGUUUGGCUGUUCUUUAAUCAUUGUAAGUAUUACCAA